rnacentral:piRNA from 1 species
UCGAUGCCGUGGUGGUGGUUGGACCCCC